rnacentral:rRNA from 1 species
AUUGAACGCUGGCGGCAUGCCUUACACAUGCAAGUCGAACGGCAGCGGACCUUCGGGUGCCGGCGAGUGGCGAACGGGUGAGUAAUAUAUCGGAACGUACCUUUCAGUGGGGGAUAACGUAGCGAAAGUUACGCUAAUACCGCAUAUUCUGUGAGCAGGAAAGCAGGGGAUCGCAAGACCUUGCGCUGAUUGAGCGGCCGAUAUCAGAUUAGCUAGUUGGUGAGGUAAAGGCUCACCAAGGCGACGAUCUGUAGCGGGUCUGAGAGGAUGAUCCGCCACACUGGAACUGAGACACGGUCCAGACUCCUACGGGAGGCUGCAGUGGGGAAUUUUGGACAAUGGGCGCAAGCCUGAUCCAGCCAUGCCGCGUGAGUGAAGAAGGCCUCGGUUGUAAGUUAC